GUGAGAGAGCGAGACGAAAGGCUGAUAGCGGAAGAAAGAUUCAUCGUCUCUGUUAAUCUACUCUCCUAGUAGAGUCUUUAUAAACUCGGUCCUAGGUGUGAAUAUAAGGAAUGCAGAAGGAUCAUGAAUCUUACAUUGAUUUGAGAGAUGAAAGAGAUUGUGUUGAUGAUAUCUUUAAUUCCAAGGGAUAUUGCGAAGGCUACAACGAGACUAGAGAUAACUUCGAUUGUUGAGGAAACUGAAUCUUUGCAAUCUUCUAUGCCCUUAACAGCUUCAGAUUCUGUUAAACUUCAUCUCUACAACAAUAUCAAUGGAGGGAUUGAUGGUAACUGAUGUAGUAUUGUUGUAUUUAUAACCAUCAAAGUACAUCGGAGGACAUCGUUUGUGAACUAAGUUCAAUUCUUUUUAAUAUGUAGUCCUAAUUUGAUGUAAUUUAUUGAACAUGACUAUUUUUUCAUGUAAUUCUACACCAUUGGUCAAAAGUAAUAUAUACAUGAAAGUAAACUGAUGUCUAUACAUCAACUGUUCAAAAAAAAACUGUUCCCUAUACAAAUAAUAAUACAAAAUGCAAUAUAAUCAUCACAUGAGUGAUUACUUAUGUUCUAGAUGAAAAAACUAAUAUAAAAAAGAAACAAGAUAUGAGCAUUAACUUGACUAAUUGGAAGAUAGGGGGUGAUAUGACCACUGUUUACUGUAAGGGUAUGUAGUUUUUAUACCAAAAAAAAGUCAAAUAACUUGCUUUCAUAAAAAAUGGGUAAUAUACACUAAUAGAACCCGGUUCUUCUUUUAAGGCCGGGUCAUAUACCCAUACAACAAAAGUCCCAGUUGCUAUGCAAGGGACCGGGUUACUUUAGUGUAAUAUAUAGCCCGUUUUUUUCAAAUGAACCGGGUCAUAUUGCUUGUCCUGUUUUAGAUCCCGGUUUUUCCAUUAUAUAACCCGGUUUUUCCAAAAACCGGGUCCUAAUUGGCGACUUGUAUACACCGUUUUGUAGUAGUGAUGGCCCAUCACAUGUUUGAUAU